UUACGGCCAUAUGACGUUGAAACAUCGUUUCUCGUAUGGUCACCGAAGUUAAGCAACGUCGAUCCUGAUCCGUACCAAGAUGGGUGACCGAUUGGGAAUAUCAGAUGCUGUAA